AAAGGGAGCGUAGGCGGACUGUUAAGUUAGAGGUGAAAGCCCAGGGCUCAACCUUGGAAUUGCCUUUGAUACUGGCAGUCUUGAGUACGGAAGAGGUAUGUGGAACUCCGAGUGUAGAGGUGAAAUUCGUAGAUAUUCGGAAGAACACCAGUGGCGAAGGCGACAUACUGGUCCGUUACUGACGCUGAGGCUCGAAAGCGUGGGGAGCAAACAGGAUUAGAUACCCUAGU
rnacentral:rRNA from 1 species